GCCCGACUAGCUCACCGGUAGAGCGCCUCACUAGUAUAGACAAGCAAUCGAGGCGAUGAGGAGGCAACAGGUUCGACUCCUGUGUUGGGCA